GUGUCAGCAGCCGCGGUAAUACGGAGGGUGCAAGCGUUGUUCGGAAUUACUGGGCGUAAAGAGCGUGUAGGCGGCUGAUCAAGUCGGGUGUGAAAGCCCGGGGCUUACCCCCGGAAGUGCGCUCGAAACUGGUCAGCUAGAGUAUGGGAGAGGGAAGUGGAAUUCCUGGUGUAGCGGUGAAAUGCGUAGAUAUCAGGAGGAACACCGGCGGCGAAGGCGGCUUCCUGGACCAAUACUGACGCUGAGACGCGAAAGCGUGGGGAGCAAACAGGAUUAGAUACCCCCGUAGUCC
rnacentral:rRNA from 1 species